UACGUAGGGUGCAAGCGUUGUCCGGAAUUAUUGGGCGUAAAGAGCUUGUAGGCGGUUUGUCGCGUCUGCUGUGAAAUCUCAAGGCUCAACCUUGAGCUUGCAGUGGGUACGGGCAGACUAGAGUGUGGUAGGGGAGACUGGAAUUCCUGGUGUAGCGGUGAAAUGCGCAGAUAUCAGGAGGAACACCGAUGGCGAAGGCAGGUCUCUGGGCAUUAACUGACGCUGAGGAGCGAAAGCAUGGGGAGCGAACAGG
rnacentral:rRNA from 1 species